CCUCCAGCAAAAAAAAAAGUUAGGAACAGUCCCAAAGAGGUGUGAAAACCCUGAGCUAACAAUAAAAAUCAGAGGAAGAAGCCCCAUCUCGAUAAGUAAAGGCCCAAAGUUUGAAACCAAAGCUAAGCAUGAAAGAGAGAGAGAGAGAAAAAAAAUUCCGGCGGCCGAGCCCCCCCUUGCAGCUUGGCGCCCCUGCAUAGCAGGGUCUGCGGGGGCGCCCGUUAUGCCACUGAUGUCAGUUGCCCAAUAACCUUGGACAGAUAGGAGCAUGUUGCAUGGGGGCGUCACAGAGAGCCAGAAUGCGCUAUAGGAGUGUCGUAUAUGUAUAAAAACAAAUCAGAAUGCUUAUCCUUUUCAUCGGGCCUUGUCUUGUGGUCCAUCCUGUGACUUGCAUUAGUAACCAUUUAGUUAUUUUAUUUUUGUGCUCCGAAUUUGCAACUGAACUUUCGAUGCUUUCAAAAUGUGCUGCUCAAAUAUUAUUGUCAUUCUGCUGUCUUCUCAAACAUCUCAUCCAGGGCCUUGUUUUCCUUUCAGUUUUUGGACCGCACCAACAUGACAUGUAAUAUGACCUGCAAUACCAAAGCUUUGUUUUGAGCUACCAUCCUCUACGCCAAUGACCUCAAAUUUCAAGCCAAGGACGCCUCAUUCAAGUCAAGCAAUAAAUGGCUCAUAUUUAGGAGACUUCAACUAUCCCACAACUGAGCAGAAAAAAGCUAUGGAGAAUGAUAAUCUAAGUAUGAUACUAGAAGCAUCAAAAGAGCGCUACAGCAGUUCCUCAGGAAGCUCUGCCAGCUCUGGAAUCCGUACUUUAUCUUCCUGUACAGCUGUGAACGUAGAAGUCUAAUGACCAUCAGAGAGCGGGAAAGUAAAUCAGCAUUUGGAAAAGAAAUGCUUGAAGAAGAAGAUGUUAAAGACCUUCAAGAAAGUAUAAAAUACCUUGAAAUAAGUUUACCAGAAGAUAUUAAUCCAUUCUCUGAAGAGUUAAUCGAAAAACUACUAUCUAAAAAAUACAUUUCCCAGGCGGCAUCAUGAAAUCGGAUUGUGCCGAAUUGAAGGAGCAGUUCCCGUUCUGAAGCAGUCCUCAACUAUCACACUAGGUAAUACUGUUUUGUAUGAUAAAUGUAAAACAUCUUUGUUAAAUUUAGGUAUUCUUUGUAUUAAAAUCAAAUUGGACGCGUAUGAGACCGGAGGAAUUUCUGAUUUGGAAUGGGAUUUAUGGUACCAUUAAAAUCUGAACUGGCAGACUGUGAGGCCGCUCUGCCGCUCUGAGUAGGUCCUGAAUGGUGCUGCCAGUGAUUGCAAAAGAUACUGUUGUUUGGAAUCAUACACAGUUUAGCGCUCGUAUUUUUUGGACAGCCGAUGAAGCCACAGACAAAAUAUAUCAAACAUCUUAUUUACAUUCUGAUUAUUUUUAUUUAAUUAGGUUUCUGAGUUCCAUUUCUUCUAAUUCAUUUGAAAAUUAAAAAUCUAAACUUGGCAUCAAAUAUAUUUUUCGAGCAUAGAAAAUUGUUAAUUUUCUGAUCAUUGCCAAAACACGUUACAUCGACGCUUACUCGUCACUUGCCCCUAGAACUACCUACUUCUCGUGUGAAAAAGUCAAUCUGUUCGUUGAUGCAGCAAGACACAGUUUGACCCAUCAAAGAGGUCUUUUUACUCCUUUACCUUGUUUUGAAACUGCACACUCGUUUUUGCCCAGGCAUAUAGGAAAUUAACAACAAUUGUCAUACCAACAUCCAACAGUUCAGAUCGCAUCGUCUCAAAAACAAAGGUAAUAUCUUGACCCAGGGCCAUACCAAAAAAGCCACUUUUCCUCCAGGCAACUGAUUCCUCAGGCAAAUGUGUCAAAAAACUAAAUAAAGGGGGCCGUCGCCCCCUCCCCUUUCUCACCCCAGUUUGCCAGAAAAGUAGAUUUGUGAACAUAGGUGGCAGGAAAAAAAAAUUGGAAAAUAGAACCAUUAAGGUGAAAAACCUGGAGCUCCCCCCUUUAAUGUGAACUUGUCUAAAAAGUCGACAAACUUCAGAGUUGCAGCACCUAAAAAUGAGGUGUGAAUUUAUCUUUAAGAAAAUUUUUUGUCAACUAUGUUAAUAUGCCUUUCGACUAAUCUUAAUAUUGACUGGCUUAAUUUUUUUCAGACGAUGAAACUUACUCCAUCAUCGGAGAAAUUGGAAAAGGCUCAUAUGCAAGAGUAGUAAAAGCCACUUACGGCCGACAAAAUGUUGCGUU
rnacentral:lncRNA from 1 species